CUCUGGGUAGUACAAAUGGUUAACACAUUCAGCUGCUAACUGAAAGGUUGGUGUUUUGAGUCCACCCAGAGU
rnacentral:tRNA from 1 species